rnacentral:rRNA from 1 species
GAUGAACGCUAGCGGCAGGCCUAAUACAUGCAAGUCGAACGGGAUCCAGAUCAAAGCUUGCUUUGGUCUGGUGAGAGUGGCGCACGGGUGCGUAACGCGUGAGCAACCUACCCUUGUCAGGGGGAUAGCCCGGCGAAAGUCGGAUUAAUACCGCAUGACAUCAUUGAGAGGCAUCUUUCGAUGAUCAAAGAUUUAUCGGACAAGGAUGGGCUCGCGUGACAUUAGCUAGUUGGUAAGGUAACGGCUUACCAAGGCUGCGAUGUCUAGGGGCUCUGAGAGGAGAAUCCCCCACACUGGUACUGAGACACGGACCAGACUCCUACGGGAGGCAGCAGUAAGGAAUAUUAGGCAAUGGACGGAAGUCUGAACCAGCCAUGCCGCGUGCAGGAAGACGGCCCUAUGGGUUGUAAACUGCUUUUAUACGGGAACAAACGUCGGUACGUGUACCGGUCUGAGUGUACCGUAAGAAUAAGGAUCGGCUAACUCCGUG